CGGAUGCUUAACGACUGAGCCACCCAGUACCUAACACUGGCGGAAGCCUUGUCCAGAGCAGCCCUAUGGGAGAAGCCAAUGUGGCAUUGACGAAAAUGUUUUGCAAUGACUGGAGCGUUCCAACCACCAGACCAGAAAAGUUCUGAUACCGACGGAAUGCCUCGGAGGCCACACCCCACACGUCCUCUUCCUGGCCCAUGAUCAUGGGCUGAACACAUGCUGACCCCCACGUGUGAUCACGCGCUCCCUGCCUGCUGUCUUGCACAUAUCCCCCAAACCUCUCUUUACAAAACUCUAGGUGUCCAUCUUGCAGGUGGAGAGGUCGCUUGAGCCUGCCACCACCCCCCAUUGCUGGCAACCGAAAUAAAUUUCUCCCUUUCUCCCUUCCAAACCCUCAUCUCUGGAGUUAUUGACUUCUCUUGCGGCGAAUUUAUCCGAGUUUGUUUGGCAAGGGCGUUGGCAAACCUGUCCAGCCCCCAAUCUCCCCAGGAUCCCCCUGGACGGAGCAGGUGGCCAGGGCUGUGCGAGGGCUCACCCGUUUGUUUCC